rnacentral:sRNA from 1 species
UGCUGCUUUUGAGUUCGGUCCAGACUGUUCUGGAGAUUGUCUCCGAGAAUGCUGGGGAGACUGCGAUGAUAGAAAGAAAGGAACCUGCCACGGUGAAAAAUGGACAUACUUAGUUAUGAUCGGAGGCCCUAGUGUGGUUGUCAUUGGUUUUAUGGCCCUAUAUUGUCAAAACAUGAAGAAGGGGACUGAAGAAGAAGGCGGGGACAAAGCCAUGCAUGAUGUUGAAAAUAAGCGACCGAAAAGUCACUCCGUGAACAGUGUAUUGUCAGAUGCCACUACCGACUCCUCUAAAUCUUGACUUUUUACCAUUAAGCGAUGCUUCUUACAUAGACAUUUCCCUGAACUAAGACACCAGCUACUUUGAUUUUGUUUGAAUAUUUUUGGUUUACAUUUUUGUCGAUAUAAAAUACGAAAAAAAAAUGUCUCUGUAUUUCAUUGUUUCA